UACAACAUAUACAUUGAAUAUGGGCAUGGC
rnacentral:piRNA from 1 species